rnacentral:rRNA from 1 species
UUUAGUGGCGAACGGGUGCGUAAUACGUGAGAAUCUGCCCUUAGGAGGAGAAUAACUUCUGGAAACGGUUGCUAAGUCUCCAUAUGCCGAGAGGUGAAAUAGUUUAUACUGCCUAGGGAUGAGCUCACGCCUGAUUAGCUUGUUGGUAAGGUAAUGGCUUACCAAGGCCACGAUCAGUAGCUGGUUUGAGAGAACGAUCAGCCACACUGGGACUGAGACACGGCCCAGACUCCUCCGGGAGGCAGCAGUGAGGAAUUUUCCGCAAUGGGCGAAAGCCUGACGGAGCAAUACCGCGUAAGGGAUGAAGGAUUUUGGUCUGUAAACCUCUUUUUUCAAGAAAGAAGUUCUGACGGUACUUGAGGAAUAAGCAUCGGCUAACUCCGUGCCAGCAGCCGCGGUAAUACGGGGGAUGCAAGCGUUAUCCGGAAUCAUUGGGCGUAAAGCGCCUGUAGGUUGUUUAAUAAGUCUGUUGUUAAAGACUAGGGCUUAACCCUAGGAAAGCAAUGGAAACUGCUAGACUUGAGUAUGAUA